rnacentral:rRNA from 1 species
GAGUUUGAUCAUGGCUCAGAAUGAACGUUGGCGGCGUGGAUUAGGCAUGCAAGUCGGACGGGCCGCAAGGCCAGUGGCGCAAGGGUGAGUAAGGCGACGGUGACCAACCCCGCGGGUGGGCAUAGCCGAGGGAAACUUCGAGUAAUUCCCAGCGACGUGGCGUCCCGGCAUCGGGAGGCCACCAAAGAUUUAUCGCCGCGGGACGGGCCGUUGUGGUAUUAGGUGGUUGGCGGGGUGACGGCCCACCAAGCCUGCGAUGCCUACCGGGCGUGCGAGCGUGGCCCGGCACACUGGGACUGAGACACUGCCCAGACUCCUACGGGAGGCUGCAGUCGAGAAUCUUCGGCAAUGGGCGCAAGCCUGACCGAGCGACGCCGCGUGGAGGACGAAGGCCUUCGGGUUGUAAACUCCUGUCGAGGGGGAGGAAGGCGCAAGCUUGACCGAUCCCUGGAGGAAGCACGGGCUAAGUUCGUGCCAGCAGCCGCGGUAAUACG